rnacentral:rRNA from 1 species
CGCGUAGGCGGACUUUCAAGUCGGAUGUGAAAUCUCCGGGCUCAACUCGGAGCCUGCAUCCGAUACUGUUGGUCUUGAGUAUAUCAGAGGAAAGCGGAAUUCCAGGUGUAGCGGUGAAAUGCGUAGAUACCUGGAAGAACACCAGUAGCGAAGGCGGCUUUCUGGGGUAAUACUGACGCUGAAGCGCGAAGGCUAGGGGAGCAAACA